UACGUAGGGUGCAAGCGUUGUCCGGAAUUAUUGGGCGUAAAGAACUCGUAGGCGGUCUGUCGCGUCGGCUGUGAAAACCUAGGGCUCAAACCUGGGCCUGCAGCCGAUACGGGCAGACUAGAAUUCGGUAGGGGAGACUGGAAUUCCUGGUGUAGCGGUGAAAUGCGCAGAUAUCAGGAGGAACACCGGUGGCGAAGGCGGGUCUCUGGGCCGAUAUUGACGCUGAGGAGCGAAAGCGUGGGGAGCGAACAGG
rnacentral:rRNA from 1 species